GUGGGGAAUCUUGCGCAAUGGGCGAAAGCCUGACGCAGCCAUGCCGCGUGAAUGAUGAAGGUCUUAGGAUUGUAAAAUUCUUUCACCGGGGACGAUAAUGACGGUACCCGGAGAAGAAGCUCCGGCUAACUUCGUGCCAGCAGCCGCGGUAAUACGAAGGGGGCUAGCGUUGCUCGGAAUUACUGGGCGUAAAGGGCGCGUAGGCGGACAGCUUAGUCAGAGGUGAAAGCCCAGGGCUCAACCUUGGAAUUGCCUUUGAUACUGGCUGUCUUGAGUUUGGGAGAGGUGAGUGGAACUCCGAGUGUAGAGGUGAAAUUCGUAGAUAUUCGGAAGAACACCAGUGGCGAAGGCGACUCACUGGCCCAAUACUGACGCUGAGGCGCGAAAGCGUGGGGGGCAAACAGGAUUAGAUACCCGAGUAGUCC
rnacentral:rRNA from 1 species